rnacentral:miRNA from 1 species
GCGUGAUCGUCUAGUGGUUAG